UCGGGAAUUUUGGGCAAUGGGGGAAACCCUGACCCAGCAACGCCGCGUGAAGGAUGAAGUAUUUCGGUAUGUAAACUUCGAAAGAAUAGGAAGAAUAAAUGACGGUACUAUUUAUAAGGUCCGGCUAACUACGUGCCAGCAGCCGCGGUAAUACGUAGGGACCAAGCGUUGUUCGGAUUUACUGGGCGUAAAGGGCGCGUAGGCGGCAUGACAAGUCACUUGUGAAAUCUCUGGGCUUAACCCAGAACGGCCAAGUGAUACUGUCGCGCUAGAGUGCAGAAGGGGCAAUCGGAAUUCUUGGUGUAGCGGUGAAAUGCGUAGAUAUCAAGAGGAACACCUGAGGUGAAGACGGGUUGCUGGGCUGACACUGACGCUGAGGCACGAAAGUGCGGGGAUCAAACAGGAUUAGAUACCCCUGUAGUCCCUGAGCGGGCUGGCAAGGCGCAU
rnacentral:rRNA from 1 species